UCGAUAACGAACGAGACCUUAACCUGCUAAAUAGCCAGGCCCGCUUUGGCGGGUCGCCGGCUUCUUAGAGGGACUAUCGGCUCAAGCCGAUGGAAGUUUGAGGCAAUAACAGGUCUGUGAUGCCCUUAGAUGUUCUGGGCCGCACGCGCGCUACACUGACAGAGCCAACGAGUUCAUUUCCUUAGCCGAAAGGUUUGGGUAAAGGUUGUUAAACUCUGUCGUGCUGGGGAUAGAGCAUUGCCAUUAUUGCUCUUCAACGAGGAAUGCCUAGUAAGCGCAUGUCAUCAGCAUGCGUUGAUACGUACCUGCCCUUGACACUCGA
rnacentral:rRNA from 1 species